GGGAGUUUUCCAGGGGAAAUACAAGUCGAGCUCAUCCUCAUCCUCCCGCCCUCCUGCGGUGCUCGGUGGUGGAGAAGCGCAUCGGGGACGGGAACGCUCGCUCGCAGCUCAGAACACAAUUAAACGGGGGGGAAAUCACGCUCAAUACUUCCGUCGAGGACUAUCCACCCGGCCGCAAUGGGGAACCGGGGAAUGGAGGAUCUGAUCCCCCUGGUGAACCGCAUGCAGGAUGCCUUCUCCGCCAUCGGCCAGAACGCCAACCUCGACCUGCCUCAGAUCGCCGUGGUAGGCGGGCAGAGUGCGGGGAAGAGCUCGGUGCUGGAGAACUUCGUGGGCAAGGAUUUCCUUCCACGUGGCUCCGGCAUCGUGACCCGUCGUCCUUUAGUUCUGCAGCUGAUGAACUCUCCUACAGAGCACGCCGAGUUCCUCCACUGUAAGGGCAAAAAGUUCACGGACUUUGACGAGGUCCGUCAGGAGAUCGAGGCCGAGACUGACCGGAUGACAGGCGCCAACAAGGGCAUCUCGCCCGUUCCCAUCAACCUGCGAGUGUACUCCCCUCACGUGCUCAACCUGACGCUGGUUGACCUGCCCGGCAUGACCAAAGUGCCUGUGGGCGACCAGCCAGCCGACAUCGAGACUCAGAUCCGGGAAAUGCUGCUGCAGUUUGUCACCAAGGACAACUGCCUGAUGCUCGCCGUUUCGCCGGCCAACUCGGAUCUGGCCAACUCGGACGCUUUAAAGAUUGCCAAAGAGGUUGACCCGCAGGGUAUGAGGACCAUCGGCGUUAUUACCAAACUGGACCUUAUGGACGAGGGCACGGAUGCUAAGGACAUACUGGAGAAUAAGCUGCUUCCACUCAGACGAGGGUACAUCGGUGUGGUCAACCGGAGCCAAAAGGACAUCGACGGAAAGAAAGAUAUCACCGCCGCCUUGGGUGCCGAGAGGAAGUUCUUUCUCUCCCACCCUGCCUACAGGCACCUGGCCGAGCGCAUGGGCACGGCCUACCUGCAGAAAAUCCUGAACCAGCAACUCACCAACCACAUCCGGGACACGCUGCCGGCUCUGCGGGCCAAGCUGCAAAGCCAGCUGCUCUCCAUCGAGAAGGAGGUGGAAGAGUACAAGAACUUCAGGCCCGACGAUCCGUCCCGCAAGACCAAGGCUCUGCUUCAGAUGGUGCAGCAGUUUUCCGUGGACUUUGAAAAGUGCAUCGAGGGCUCCGGGGACCAGAUCGACACAGCCGAGCUAUCCGGCGGCGCCAAGAUCAACCGCAUCUUCCACGAGCGCUUCCCCUUUGAGCUGGUCAAGAUGGAGUUCGACGAGAAGGAGCUCCGCAAGGAGAUCAGCUACGCCAUCAAGAACAUCCACGGCAUCAGAACUGGUCUCUUCACCCCCGACAUGGCCUUUGAGACCAUUGUGAAAAGGCAGAUUGGGAAGAUUAAAGAGCCUUGCACCAAAUGUGUGGAUAUGGUCAUGUCCGAGCUAGUCAAUACGGUUAGACAGUGUACCAAAAAGCUGGCCCAGUACCCGAUGCUGCGAGAAGAGAUGGAGAGAAUCGUCACUCAGCACAUCCGAGACCGAGAGAGCCGCACCAAAGGCCAGGUGCUCCUGCUGAUCGACAUCGAGUUGUCCUACAUGAACACCAACCACGAAGACUUCAUCGGCUUUGCCAACGCCCAGCAGAGGAUCAGCCAGAUGAACAAGAAGAAGGCAGCUGGCAAUCAGGACGAGAUUAUGCCGGAGAGAGGAGUUAACGAUCGGUUCAAGGUGAUCCGAAAGGGAUGGUUGACGAUCAACAACAUUGGUAUCAUGAAGGGCGGCGCCAAGGAGUACUGGUUUGUCCUCACCGCCGAGUCGCUGUCCUGGUACAAGGAUGACGAGGAGAAGGAGAAGAAGUACAUGCUGCAGGUGGACAACUUGAGGCUGCGGGAUGUCGAGAAGGGCUUCAUGUCCAGCAAGCACAUUUUUGCCCUCUUCAACACCGAGCAAAGAAACGUGUACAAGGACUACCGGCAGCUGGAGUUGGCCUGCGAGAGUCAGGAAGACGUGGACGCAUGGAAGGCGUCCUUCCUGCGAGCCGGCGUGUACCCUGAACGUGUCACGGAAAAGGAAGGAAAGAGCGACACAGGCGACGAGAACGGCUCCGACGGUUUCAUGAACAGCAUGGACCCCCAGCUGGAGCGUCAGGUCGAAACCAUCCGCAACUUGGUCGACUCCUACAUGGCCAUCGUCAACAAAACCGUUCGCGACCUGAUGCCCAAGACCAUUAUGCACCUUAUGAUUAAUAAUUGCAAAGAGUUCAUCAAUGCUGAGCUACUGGCCCAGUUGUACUCCUGCGGCGACCAGAACACACUGAUGGAGGAGUCUCAGGAGCAGGCGCAGCACCGCGACGAAAUGCUGAGGAUGUAUCACGCCCUGCGAGAGGCACUCCACAUCAUCGGCGACAUCAGCACGUCCACCGUCUCCACAGCCAUGCCGCCACCUGUGGACGACUCGUGGCUGCAGGUCCAACGCGGUGGCUCGGGAGGAAGGUCUCCAGCCACCAGUCCGACUCCAAAUCGCAGGGCGCCCCCGGGUCCUCCAGCUCGCCCUGGGUCUCGCGGGCCUCCUCCUGCUGGGGGACCUCCGGUACCAUCCCGCCCCGGGGCUUCUCCAGACCCUUAUAGCGGGCCGCCGCCCACGGUGCCCUCUCGACCGAACCGCGCACCGCCGAGUGUGCCCAGGGGGAUUUGAAGACACCCGGAUGAGGGCAUACAGGAGAAUCACUAUCACUGACCAAUGAGGACUAACCUUUCUGUCGGAGACCCCCACCUUCACCGACCCACUAGACCUCCAAGCUCCUCCUCCUUCCUCUCCUUCUUCCAUCUCUACUCUUCGGGCCGACGGCGCCACCUUCCUUUCUUCUGCGGUGAUGGUGGCUCCAUCCUCCAACUACCUCCAACCCUCAAAUAGCGCCACCUGUCAACAACACAAACGCAUAACAUACUGCAUGACCGUUCAGAUAUUUAAUGUGUAUCAUCCGAGUGGUAUUUCUUUAGCAAGGAAGUUGUCAUACGUGCAUAAAGAGAAGUGUGAUGGCACUAAAAUAAAGCAAAACUGUAGUACUCACUCAUCGGAGGAAGGGAAAUUCCGGAUAGAAUGGGAAGGGGACAGGGAGGUAUUUCACCAGAGCGAUACUGUCACUCAGUGGCAUUUUACUAAUUUAGCAGCAGCAUAAAAAUCUUUUGAUUCUGUUGUUAUGCUGAUAUUAAUAUAAAAUAUACAUUUUGUUUGUGAAAUUGACAAAAAAAUGUACGCCUUCAACACAGUUAGUCACCGUAGCUUCUCUCAUUUUCACGCUAGCCGUUUUACCUCUAUGUGGCUACAUGCUAAUUAUGUUAGCGUCUACUUGGUACAGUACAAAGUUACAUUGUGUAUGUCAGACUAGGUCACCAGAAGCUCCAUUUCUGGUUAUAUGGUUAUCGUCACUCUUUUCCUUUUGGCCUUCACUGGUAACACACACGCACACACGCAGACGCACACAAAGGCCAAAGAAAAAGCAGAAAUUGCAGAGUUCCUCCUGGAGGUGAAGGUUUGCCGAAGUGACACGUGAUGCUGGCUUGGACUCUCGUAUGAAUGGAUGACCAUGACUAUAACAUCAUCCUUGCAUAACCUCCUCUGACCAUAUUUAUUGUUUGACACACUCUCUUCUCGUUCUGCACAGCACGCCGCCGACAAAGAGGCACUGUUCGAACUCUCAAACGCCCUUUCUUCUUUUUUUCAUCACUUCAUCAAUCAUCCAUCACUCACUCACCUCACAUCUCUUGCACAGAAGCUAUGCAAUGCAGGAAGUCCCUUCUCCCUCCCUCCCCCAUCAUGUGAAGCACCAUUUAUGACCCUCUAGUGAACAAAUGAAACUGUUACCUUAUCAAGGCGGGAUAGAAAUAAAAAGUGCAAUAUGGUAGCAUGUUUCUGUGCUGGGACCCCGACCCCUGUGUCAACCCUCCUUAAUAUCUUAGAACAAUUGAUGAUCUACCCCUUUUCUUUUUCUGCUUUUUGUUGUUGUCAGUGGUCACGGGGGUGAGUGAGAGGAUGAAUUCCAUGUGCACGAUUCUCCUUCUGUUUGGUUUACUCUCAAUUGUGAUGUGGCGUGUUUUUGGAGCCCCUCGAACCGGUGAUGUCAUCAAUCAAUCAAUCAUCCAAGUCCUGUGUAUUUCACACCUACAAAAAACAUGCACUCUUACCAGUGAUUUGCAAAAGGUUUAUCAUUUGACAUGAGACAUAUCUUCAGUUAUUCUGUGUACGUGUUCCCCACCCAAACCACCACACAAAAUAAAUCUGACCCGGUUGCCAUUUUGCACCAGGGACCAUCAAUUUGAGUAGCCCUGCUAUAAGAAGCAGUGCAAUGUGAAGUUUAUUCGUAUUUUAUUUAAAACCAUAUUAGAGUGAUGUGUGUAUAUGGAAUUUGGCGGGAUGCUUGAUACUGUGGUGGAGCAGAGAGAUUUUAGUCGUUUUAUUUCCCUCUCGUUCCUGCGCCCGUGUAACAAGGUCGGGGCGAUGUACUGUUACUAUGGAUGCAACCAUGAUCGCACCCUGCAGGAUGAUGACAUUGCUCACGUGUAGAAAUAAACUGCAGUGCACUGACAAGAGA